UUGGAGUGGUAAAAAAAUUAAUCACUUCAGGAUAGGAUCACACAUAGAAUCCAAAUAAACUCAGUAGUCACACAGGGGUCAAAGGGUAUGGGGAUACACAGACACUUGGCUGCAGAUACAUAACCCCAGCAAGGGAUCUUAGGACUGGAUUAGACAUGCUCAGAGAUAGUUGACACUGGAAUAAUCACAAACCAAUCAUGAAGAACAUAAACACAUAGAGGGGGAUAAAGAUUUAGUAUUCACAAAAAUUGUAGGUACACAGCAGCUAAAACCAGGCAGGCUUUGAAUCACAUAAGGGAAUACAUUGAUUUAAAGGAAGGGGAGUCAUGCUAGCAUGUUGAUAACAUAACCUAACUAUAAACUUCACAACAGAACUAUAAGUAAAAGAAAGCUAGUAAUAAAAGAAACUGAAACAAGAAGAGAAGCAUGUUAUUGUUGAGGCUUUAAAUUAAACUAGGACAUACGGGUGAAGAUAGAAGUAAGCAGAAUGAAAGAACCAAAGAGUAAAGAGGAUUAGACUUGGCUUGCAGCCGACUAACAGUAGCAAAUAGCACAAGAGAGGGGGGACAAAAAGGAAUUUUAAUAAGAUAGGAUUUUUGGAAAACUAAGUGUCUGUGUCUAUUGGUAAAAGACUUAGAGUAUAUAUAGUUGAAAGUAGGUAGUGAAAUAAGGUAAAAAUCAUAGCAGUAUACUAAUUUAAGAACUAAAAAUAAAUCAAUUAGAGAAUCAAGGAAGUACUCCCUUAAGUUAAGAGAAUCAAGAUCAAACGGAAAGAUUCAGUACCAUAUAAGGCAGGAAGAAGAAUCAGUGCAUGAUUAAAUCAGGAAGGAGUCAAGGUUCAGUAGGAAUAGAGUAGUCAAUAAGGAUCAAAUUCAGAAAGACCCAAUUAAGGAAAGACUAAGUAAAACAAAGUACCAUAGUAAAUAAGGUAAUGAAAUUAGUUAUUCACACAGACAGGGUAAAGCUUUUAGGCCUUAAAAAAAUCUUUCAAUCACCAUCAAUUAAGGAAAAUCAGAAUCAAUCAUGGUGGAGUCAUGAUUCUGUAUUCUCAAAAUAUAAAUAGAUACGAAUGAACAGGAGUAGCAAACAAACAAGGUCAACUAUAUAGGAUGAAAGAAACAAUAGAUGAGUAAACACAAUCUUACAGGGGUGAUAUACUUAGGCCAAAGAUUCGGCAGAAUAUAUGAAGCAUGGUGACCACAAAAGAUUAAAGAAUCAGUUAAACAGUCUAACACACCGAACCAAGGCAAAGAAAAUCAUGUUAACACACAGAAACAAGGCAAAGAAAGUCAUGCUAACACACAAAAACAAAGUAAAGAAAAUCAUGCUACCUCACAGAACAAAAGAAAAGAAAAUCUUUAAGAAUUAGGGCUUUUAACAUAGUCAAGUUAAAAUCAGUAGGAACAUAGAAUCAUUCAAAAUAAGCAAGGAAAAGGAGUUUAAUCAUGAAGAAAUCGGUUGGAACAGGUGUAGAAAUAAUUUCAAGAAAACCCUAGUUUUAACGAAAGUAAAAUGGUUUAAAAAUUAGGAUCUUUCAGAAGAAGUUCAAAAAACAAGCAAAUCAUAGAAGGAAACAGGCUUAAAGCAUAAAAAUAACACAGA
rnacentral:lncRNA from 1 species